CGCACUGAAGUGUCACUGUAGCAGAUUGCCGACAUUAUAUGUUCACGACUGGCAUCGUAAUUUAAUGUAAGUUCGUUGCCAAGGAUACCUAUAGUGGGCCUCUAGUCAAACGGGGACAUUAAGCUACGAUUGCGGACAACGCAAAGAAGACGGUUAUUAUCGCGGAGUUGCUUUUUCUGUAGGUAUACUAGCACACUGCAGGCCUACGUGCUUAUAGCCUUUUCGCGAUGAACGAGGACACUCACAUGAAUUCGCCAAAGGUGCCUUGUGUUGACUGGUCAGAAUCACGGUCUUCCCUAUUCCAUUUAGGAUGUUUUUUUCUUACUGCAGGCUACUUAACUAUCCCGAAUUUAGGCCUUGCCAGGGCACUGUGGCUCCGAGUAUGCCUAGUACUUGGUGUGUUUUGCUUCGUCCUCUGGGGAGCAGCGGUGCGUUGUUGGCCCGAUUUGUUCGCCUGGAACUUAGUUGGAUUCGUAAUAAAUAUAUUACAACUGGCAUAUUUGAUAUUUUUAACCAGACCUAUCAAACUAGACGAAGAUAUUUUGCAACUGCAUGAAAAAUUCUUUAAACCUUUCCAGAUUUCGAUUCAAAAAUUUAAACGAAUGUUAGAUUACUAUGGUGAACUUUACGAGCUUGAUGCAAGUGGUCAUUAUGCAAUUGAAGGCAAAACUAAAGCGGGAAACAAAAUUGCAAUUUUAUCGUCUGGCAGAAUGCGCGUGACACACGGGGAUGUAUUCUUACAUUAUAUUCGACCAGGUCAGUUUGUCGACUCGCCAGAGUGGCUGGCUAAUGACGGAUCCAAGAGGGCAUUUCAGGUGACUAUCACUGCUGAAGAAGAUUGUCGCUACGUUCAGUGGUCAAGACGAAAGUUAGAAUCAUUCCUGAAGCGGGAACCCUUCAUGAAAGUGGUUCUUCAGACAAGUAUCGGUAGAGACGUCUCCCAGAAAUUAUAUGCUAUCAGCCAGGGCGAGAAACCAAUAUCAAAUAAAUCACCCCGAGCCGACUCAACACUAGAAGACCAUGAGGAUCAGGAUAUAAAUGAAGACACAGGACUACUGAGACACAAUUGGGAGCCAGCAGUGGACAUUGACGAUGACGACAUCAGGCGCGACAGUGAUCAUAGCGCCGCCUCAGCGGUCAACAUUCGACAAAGCAUCGCAUCUGGCAGAGGUGUAGAGACUGCAAAUGAUGGUGGCGCACAUCGCACUGCAUAGCUGUUCCCAUUUCACAGCAUGUUUCCAUUGCAUGAUAUGGUAACUGCCUCACGUGAUAAUGUGAGCAAAAAUCAUGUGUUGUCUUCGUGUGAAAGCUUUUCUGAACAUAUAACAUCGGUUUAAUGCGUAGACGUAUGUAUAUUCAUCGCUACUUUCAGGAGAUCGUAAAUGUCGUUUGAGUGUAAAACAUAUUUCUCAAGCUCGAAUGAGAACAACUACGUCGUGAACUGGUAAAAAUGUAGGCCUAGAUGUUGGAAUUCAUCAGGAUGCAACCCUAACAAUCAUAGCUGCACACUAUUGAGAUGAAGGACCGGGUUGGCAUGGGCUUGAACUUGCACCAAUGUUUCACAUGAUAUGUUUUGUAGACUGAGGAAUUCGGUUGUGGUCACAGGAGGGACGAAAUAAUGGCGUCAUCGGACUAGACAGCGCUGCUGUGAUGGUGCCAACUGUAGGCUAAAUUUCCAUCCGGGUUUUUUUUUUUUUUUUUUUUUUUUUUUUUUUUUUUUUUUUUUUUUUUUGCUCUUUCUAUUUGAGGGUUGACAUUUCUACACCUCUGUACGCUAAAGUAGGCCUAUUCACGUAUUAUAGGCCUAUGCCAUUUCUCUGUAUAGUAAAAAGUAUUUAUAGGGAAAUUUUACUAUAGCCAUACAGUCUUGUUCAAACAUGAACAUUUUUUUUAUCUUCUCUGAUAUUACAUAAAUCACAAACAAAUGCAUAUCCCCGCCUCUUGUAUAUUGUUGCUAAUUUCCCACAAAACGACAUCGUAACGUACGUAAGCACGUGCGUUUGAGGGAUGGAACAGCACGGCAUGAUUGUGAGACAAGCACGUGAUUCUUGCCCUGUUCUGAUUGUUCAGUUGUUAAAUUUGAUUCGUUUUCCAGAAAGGUACAUUUGAGAGACUAACUUAAUUUCUGUACCAGGAAUUAACACGUUUCCAAUAUCCUAGCACGUUAUUCAUAUAUUUAGCUAAAGGAAUUUCACUCCUAUGCAAUAUUUUCUUGUAAAAAUUGAAUGUAUGUAGUCUUAAGUGUAGCCGGCCGAGUUUGAUCAGUCAUUAUUUAAAUUCAUAAUAAAAUCUGUUUUGAUAUUAUACGGAUGCAAUAUGAAAUUUGAAAAAAAAGAAAAUCGUACAUAUUAAUUAUUAGCAUGAUGAAAUUGUAUAUCAAUAAAUUUAGAAUUAAGAAUAUGAAGUAUAUAAAGCAAUAAAUACACUAUCGAAUCCCGCAAAUCUAUUCACUUACAGUAUAAGCUCCAGUUUUAACAGUAUUAUUGUCUGUAUUCUUCUGAUAGUACGGUAUUCAUUGUGAAUGCAUUUGAAACAUCUUUAUGUUAUGUUAGAUUAGUUUAAACAUAUUAUGUUUGAAAUGCUGUGAUUGUGUUAUUUUUUGGAAAUUCCAAUUACUGGCAAAACUGCAUCGUACUGAAUAUAAUCAUUAUUAUUACUAUAUUAAUAAUGAUAUAAAGACAAGGUUCAGUGUUAAUUGACAGUUCACUGUUUAGUUCUUCUGUAUAUCCCUUGAUACAUCUAGUUUUCUGUAGGUUUGGAUUUUAAAUAGGCCUAGUUACUUUAUAUUAUGGUUUGAUUCUGAUGUAUUUCUAAUUGCGAGAAGCAAUAUUAAUAGAUUGAGGUUGUGCAAUGUGACACAUGAUUCAGUUACUUUAAUGGAUAAAGAGGUUGUUCCCCGCGACAGCUACAUACAUUUUCUGAUCUCAGUGAUAAUUACAGUAUGUUUCCACUUUGAGAAAAGCGUCUCACCUUCCGACACAGGAAAACGCAAUAUCCGUUCUACUAACGUUCUGUCACAUGUACCUAAUAGUAUUAUUUUUAAUUAUUAAUUUACUUUAAUACACAAUAUAAAUAUGAUAGUAAAUUAAUAAUGUACUUUAAUACAAAUUUUAAAGUAAAUUAUUAAUAUACUUUCGUAUUUAUAUUGUGUAUUACAGAAAUGGUUCUUAACUGUCUUGUUUCUUUUCUUGUAGCUUUAGGUUCAUGGUAAUAUUUGGUUCCUUCCUGUAGCGCCUUAAGCACUACUGCAGUGGAUUUGUGCGCUUUAUAAAUUUUAUUAUUAUUAUUAUUAUUAUUAUUAUUAUUAUUAUUAUUGUUUUGAAGUUAAAUUUUGAGCAUAAUUAAUAAUUAUAUAAGCUUUAAUACAUUUAAUAAACGUCAUUUCUAAGCCCCUUUCAUCAGAUCCUAAGGCUCUUUUAUGAUGAAAAACUAUUUGAAUACAUGCAAAAAUAAUUCAAUAAUUCUUCUAUCUAUCAACCAGAAACCAUUGAAUACAUUUAUAAUCAAUGUAAUUAAUAUGUACUUUAAUAUAAAUUACAUGGUUUCUAAUAUUAUUAGAUGUCAAUAAAGUAAACAAGCAAAGAUUUCCGCAUUACUUACUU
rnacentral:misc_RNA from 1 species